rnacentral:rRNA from 1 species
CGGUUUAAUUGGACUCAACGCCGGAAAACUCACCGGGGCGACAGCAAUAUGUAGGUCAAGCUAAAGACUUUACCAGAAUCGCUGAGAGGAGGUGCAUGGCCGUCGUCAGUUCGUACUGUGAAGCAUCCUGUUAAGUCAGGCAACGAGCGAGACCCGUGCCCACUGUUGCCAGCAUGUCCUUCGGGAUGAUGGGUACUCUGUGGGACCGCCGAUGCUAAAUCGGAGGAAGGUGCGGGCUACGGUAGGUCAGUAUGCCCCGAAUCUCCCGGGCUACACGCGGGCUACAAUGACUGGGACAAUGGGCUCCUACCCCGAAAGGGGAUGGUAAUCUCAUAAACCCAGCCUUAGUUCGGAUCGAGGGCUGUAACCCGCCCUCGUGAAGCUGGAAUCCGUAGUAAUCGCGUUUCAACAUAGCGCGGUGAAUACGUCCCUGCUCCUU